AGUGAACGCUGGCGGUAGGCCUAACACAUGCAAGUCGAACGGCAGCACAGUAAGAGCUUGCUCUUACGGGUGGCGAGUGGCGGACGGGUGAGGAAUACAUCGGAAUCUACUUUUUCGUGGGGGAUAACGUAGGGAAACUUACGCUAAUACCGCAUACGACCUACGGGUGAAAGCAGGGGAUCUUCGGACCUUGCGCGAUUGAAUGAGCCGAUGUCGGAUUAGCUAGUUGGCGGGGUAAAGGCGCACCAAGGCGACGAUGCGUAGCCGGUCCGAGAGGAUGAUCCGCCACUCGGGAGCUGAGACGCGGUCCAGCAUCCUGCGGGAGGCAGCAGCGGGGAAUAUUGGACAAUGGGCGGAAGCCUGAUCCGGCCAUUCCGCGUGGGUGAAGAAGGCCUUCGGGUUGUAAGGGACUUUUGUUGGGAAAGAAUAGCGGCAGGUUAAUACCCCGCUGUUCUGCCGGUACCGAAGGAAUAGCCACCGGCUACCUUCGU
rnacentral:rRNA from 1 species